AGGGAAAUGCCCGGCUAAACAACAGCUGCUGGGAUUACUGUUUAAUAAAAGCCGUCAUAUUCAUGCACUCCCUGACGCCGCCCCCCCCCCCUGCAGAGCAGACCAAAGGACAUUGCUGAGCAGGGCCCAAUAACCUAACAUCGCAGUCAGCCCAGCACCCUCGGGGACGCGACGCCAGGCACCUCUCCGCACAAUGCCAGGGCCCCGGAUCUCCCAGCAGGCGCGCCGUGGCCCCAGGCACGCCGUAUGCGUGGGUGUUUCAUUUAUUAUCAAGUCUCUGCAUAUGUUUAUAUCAUGCAUAUGUACAUGAGCAGAAAAAGGACUACAGCUGUGUGUGUGUGUGUGUGUGUGUGUGUGUGUGUGUGUGUGUGCAUGUGUGUAUUCGAGCUUCCAUAGCUGUGGGGAGUAAGGAGUUCAGCAUACAUAAUUGAAGAUGGAGGAGAAGCCUGCCAUCCAAAAAAGCAAAAUGCCAACUGCUCGGCUCAUUUUAUUUUAUAAGAAGGGAGAGCCAAAGGUGUAGUGAGAAAAUGAGUGAAGAAAGAAAGAGAGAGAGAAAAAAAAACCUUAACA